GGGUACACGAGUGGCGAACGGGUGAGUAACACGUGGGUGAUCUGCCCUGCACUCUGGGAUAAGCCUGGGAAACUGGGUCUAAUACCGGAUAUGAGCUCCUGUCGCAUGGCGGGGGUUGGAAAGGUUUACUGGUGCAGGAUGGGCCCGCGGCCUAUCAGCUUGUUGGUGGGGUAAUGGCCUACCAAGGCGACGACGGGUAGCCGGCCUGAGAGGGCGACCGGCCACACUGGGACUGAGACACGGCCCAGACUCCUACGGGAGGCAGCAGUGGGGAAUAUUGCACAAUGGGCGAAAGCCUGAUGCAGCGACGCCGCGUGAGGGAUGACGGCCUUCGGGUUGUAAACCUCUUUCAGCAGGGACGAAGCGAGAGUGACGGUACCUGCAGAAGAAGCACCGGCCAACUACGUGCCAGCAGCCGCGGUAAUACGUAGGGUGCGAGCGUUGUCCGGAAUUACUGGGCGUAAAGAGCUCGUAGGCGGUUUGUCGCGUCGUCCGUGAAAACUUGGGGCUCAACCCCAAGCUUGCGGGCGAUACGGGCAGACUUGAGUACUGCAGGGGAGACUGGAAUUCCUGGUGUAGCGGUGAAAUGCGCAGAUAUCAGGAGGAACACCGGUGGCGAAGGCGGGUCUCUGGGCAGUAACUGACGCUGAGGAGCGAAAGCGUGGGUAGCGAACAGGAUUA
rnacentral:rRNA from 1 species